AUUGAACGCUAACGGCGUGCUUAACACAUGCAAGUCGAGCGGCAGCAUGACUGUAGCAAUACAGUUGAUGGCGAGCGGCGGACGGGUGAGUAAUGCAUAGGAAUCUGCCUUGUAGUGGGGGAUAACCCGGGGAAACUCGGGCUAAUACCGCAUAAUCUCUACGGAGCAAAGUGGGGGACCUUCGGGCCCUACGCUAAAAGAUGAGCCUAUGUUGGAUUAGCUAGUUGGUAGGGUAAAGGCCUACCAAGGCAACGAUCCAUAGCUGGUCUGAGAGGAUGAUCAGCCACACUGGGACUGAGACACGGCCCAGACUCCUACGGGAGGCAGCAGUGGGGAAUAUUGGACAAUGGGCGAAAGCCUGAUCCAGCAACGCCGUGUGUGUGAAGAAGGCCUUCGGGUUGUAAAGCACUUUUAGUGGGGAAGAAAAGUAAUAAGUAAAUAAUUUAUUGCUCUGACGGUACCCAAAGAAUAAGCACCGGCUAACUCUGUGCCAGCCGCCGCCGUAA
rnacentral:rRNA from 1 species